rnacentral:rRNA from 1 species
UACGUAGGGUGCAAGCGUUUGUCCGGAAUUAUUGGGCGUAAAGGGCUCGUAGGCGGUCCGUCACGUCGGGGAGUGAAAACUUGGGGCUUAACCCCAAGCCUGCGGUCGAUACGGGCAGACUUGAGUUCGGCAGGGGGAGACUGGAAUUCCUGGUGUAGCGGUGAAAUGCGCAGAUAUCAGGAGGAACACCGGUGGCGAAGGCGGGUCUCUGGGCCGAUACUGACGCUGAGGAGCGAAAGCGUGGGGAGCGAACAGG